AGAGUUUGAUCCUGGCUCAGGAUGAACGCUGGCGGCGUGCCUAACACAUGCAAGUCGAGCGAGAAAUUGCAGAUUGAAACUUCGGUCGAAAGAAGCGAUGGACAGCGGCGGACGGGUGAGUAACGCGUAGGUAACCUACCUUAAGCUGAGGGAUAGCCUAGGGAAACCUGGAUUAAUACCACAUAAAGCGUGAUGGUCACAUGGCCAACAUGCCAAAGAUUUAUCGGCCUAAGAUGGACCUGCGUCUGAUUAGAUAGUUGGUGAGGUAACGGCCCACCAAGUCGACGAUCAGUAGCCGAUCUGAGAGGAUAAUCGGCCACAUUGGAACUGAGACACGGUCCAAACUCCUACGGGAGGCAGCAGUGGGGAAUAUUGCACAAUGGGCGCAAGCCUGAUGCAGCAACGCCGCGUGAGCGAAGAAGGUCUUCGGAUCGUAAAGCUCUGUCCUUGGGGAAGAAGAAAGUGACGGUACCCGAGGAGGAAGCCCCGGCUAACUACGUGCCAGCAGCCGCGGUAAUACGUAGGGGGCAAGCGUUAUCCGGAAUUAUUGGGCGUAAAGAGUGCGUAGGUGGUUACCUAAGCAGGGGGUGAAAGGCACUGGCUUAACCAAUGUCAGCCCCCUGAACUGGGCUACUUGAGUGCAGGAGAGGAAAGUGGAAUUCCUAGUGUAGCGGUGAAAUGCGUAGAUAUUAGGAGGAACACCAGUGGCGAAGGCGACUUUCUGGACUGUUACUGACACUGAGGCACGAAAGUGUGGGGAGCAAACAGGAUUAGAUACCCUGGUAGUCCACACCGUAAACGAUGAGCACUAGGUGUCGGGGGAGCAAUCCUUCGGUGCCGCAGUUAACGCAUUAAGUGCUCCGCCUGGGGAGUACGUACGCAAGUAUGAAACUCAAAGGAAUUGACGGGGACCCGCACAAGCAGUGGAGUAUGUGGUUUAAUUCGAAGCAACGCGAAGAACCUUACCAGGGCUUGACAUAUACCGGAAAGCUCAAGAGAUUGAGCCCUCCUUCGGGACUGGUAUACAGGUGGUGCAUGGUUGUCGUCAGCUCGUGUCGUGAGAUGUUGGGUUAAGUCCCGCAACGAGCGCAACCCCUAUCGUUAGUUGCUAGCAGGUAAAGCUGAGAACUCUAGCGAGACUGCCGGUGAUAAAUCGGAGGAAGGUGGGGAUGACGUCAAAUCAUCAUGCCCUUUAUGUCCUGGGCUACACACGUACUACAAUGGCUGUUACAAAGGGAAGCAAUAUAGUGAUAUGGAGCAAAACCCUAAAAGCAGUCUCAGUUCGGAUUGAAGUCUGAAAUUCGACUUCAUGAAGCCGGAAUUGCUAGUAAUGGCAGGUCAGCAUACUGCCGUGAAUACGUUCCCGGGCCUUGUACACACCGCCCGUCACACCAUGAGAGUUGGAAAUACCCGAAGCCUGUGAGCUAACUGUAAAGAGGCAGCAGUCGAAGGUAGAGCCAAUGAUUGGGGUGAAGUCGUAACAAGGUAGCC
rnacentral:rRNA from 1 species